CCUAAUUGAUUCUGCCAGUAGUUAUAUAUUUAUCUUAAAGAUUAAACUAUAUAUAUCUAAGUAUAAGCAAUUAUACAGCGAAACUGCAAAUAGCUUAUUAUAUAAAUUAUUAUUUAUUUAAUAGUACCUUACUACUUAGAUAACUAUAGUAAUUCUAAAACUAAUAUAUACUAAAAAUCCCGACUUCGGAAGGAAUAUAUUUAUUAAAUUAAAAACUAAUACCUUUUAGAGCUUACUAGUAAUUUAUAAUAACUUCUUAAAUUAUAUAACCUUAUACUAGCGAUAGUUUAUUCAAAUUUCUUCCCUAUUAACUUUCAAUACUAAAAUAGUAUUCUAGUAUAGUUAUAAUAAGUAAUAGAGAGUUAAAGCUCAACCCUAGAGAAGGAACCUAAGAAAUAGCUACUAUAUCCAAAGAAAGCAGCAGGCACGCAAAUUACCUAAUCCUAACACAGAGAGGUAGUAACAAUAAAUACUAAUACAGAGUUCUUUUAGAUCUUAUAAUUAAAAUAAAUAUAAUUUAAAUCCCUUAACGAGAAACAAUUAGAGGGUAAGUCUAGUAUUAGCAGCUAUAGUAAUUCCAGCUCCAAUAGUAUAUAUUAAAGUUAUUAUAGUUAAAAAGCUUAUAGUAAAACCUUAAGCCUAACUAGCCAGUCUACCUCACUAUAUAUACUAAUCCAGCUAAGCUUUUCCCUCUGUGGAACUAUAUACUCUUCACUAGAUAUACUAAAGAAAUAGAACUUUUACUUUAAAAAAAUUAGAAUACUCCAGGUAAGCCUAUACUCAAAUAUAUUAAUAUAAAAUAAUAGAAUAGGAUAUAUAAUUCUAUUUUAUUAGUUUCUAGAACCACCAUAAUAAUUAAUAGAGACAGUUAGAGGUAUUAAUAUUUAAUUAUCAGAAGUGAAAUUCUUAGAUUUAUUAAAAACUAACUACUACGAAAGUAUUUACUAAGGAUAUUUUCAUUUAUCAGGAAUAAAAAUUAGGAAAUCAAAGACAAUCAAAUACUAUUAUAAUCUUAACUAUAAACUAUACCAACUAAAGAUCAGACGAUAUUAUUUUUUAACUCAUUCAGCACCUUACAAGAAAUCAAAAUACUUAGGCUCCAGGGGGAAUAUAGUCGCAAGGCUGAAACUUAAAGAAAUUAACAGAAAGGCACCACUAAGGGUAAAUAGUAGUUAUUCAAACUCUGCCCCAAACAGCAAGCCUAUAAAGAGUCUAGUAGCCAGCCCCAAAUCGCUAGUCACCCCAGCAGUAACAAUAUCCCCUAAUUACGGGAAACUUUCAAAAAGUAGCACUCCUAAAUAGCAUUCAAAAGAGAUACUGUAGCAGCAGCGUAACAGCCGCUAGUAUAGAAAUAACAUACCACUCAUAAGGUGACUUACAGCUAAGCCCCUAACCACAGGGAAGGUUUAGAGACUCAAUAGGGAUAAGUAACGCCCCCAGGCGCCACUUAAGAUAGAGUCUAUACCUACUCAAGAGAGUGGAGACUAACUAGCAUAUUACCUGAAAAAGGAACCUACAGUUUAAUUUAACUUAACACAGAGAAACUUACCAGAUCCAGAUAUAAUAAAAAUUAAUAAAUUAAAAGUUUUUUCUUAAUUUUAUAGGUAAUAAUAUAUAACUAUUCUUAGUUAGUAAAGUAAUUUAUCUACUUAAUUAUAAUAACAAACGAGACCUUAACCUACUAAAUAGCCUAUAUUACUUUAGUAAUAUACUAGCUUCUUAGAGGGACUAUUAGCUUAAGCUGAUAGAAGUUUAAAAUAAUAACAGGUCUAUAAUACCCUUAGAUAUUCUAAGCUAUACACGCAUUAUACUAAUAGAGCUAGUAAGUACUCCCUUAGCCGGAAAGCCUAAGUAAUCUUAUUAAACUCUAUUAUACUAGAGAUAGAGUAUUACAAUUAUUACUCUUUAAUAAGGAAUCCCUAGUAAGCGUAAGUUAUCAGCUUACAUUAAUUAUAUCCCUACUUUUUAUAUAUACCACCCGUCACUACUACCAAUUAAAUAGCUUAGUGAGACUUCCAGACUAGCUUAGAGAGGUAGGUAACUACUACUUAAAGUUAGAAAAUUAUCUAAACUUAGUUAUUUAGAAGAAGUAAAAAUUAUAAUAAAGUCUCUAUUAGUAAAUUAGCAGAGG
rnacentral:rRNA from 1 species